CCUACGGGUGGCUGCAGUGGGGAAUAUUGCACAAUGGGGGCAACCCUGAUGCAGUGACGCCGCGUGAGUGAAGAAGGAUCUCGGUACGUAAAGCUCUAUCAGCAGGGAGGAAAGUGACGGUACCUGACUAAGCAGCCACGGCUAACGACGUGCCAGCAGCCGCGGUAUUACGUAGGGGGAAAGCGUUAUCCGGAUUUACUGGGUGUAAAGGGAGCGUAGACGGCAGCACAAGUCUGGAGUGAAAUCCCGGGGCUUAACCCCGGAACUGCUUUGGAUACUGUGCGGCUGGAGUGCAGGAGAGGUGAGUGGAAUUCCGAGUGUAGCGGUGAAAUGCGUAGAGAUUAGGAGGAAUACCGGUGGCGAAGGCGGCUUACUGGACGGAGACUGACGUUGAGGCUCGAAAGCGUGGGGAGCAAACAGGAUUAGAUACCCUAGUAGUC
rnacentral:rRNA from 1 species